AUGAUGCACUCCAGUAUAGCCUGUUCGAAACUAGAACCACUCAACAGGAAAAAAGAAAACCUCCGAUAUCUUCAAGAUGAAUUGUGUGUCUCUUUCUCUUUCCUCUGUAAUGUUUUCUUUUUUCUUUCUUUUUCUCUUUUUUUUUUUUUUAGGAUGGGGCCAGGGGGAAUUCAUCGACUGCCUGCUGAGUUUCUUUGUCUUUUGAAACCUCUUCAAGUGCCAGUGUGUUAUAUACCUGUGAGACUCGCAGGAUGAGAACAAGACAGAGGAAUAUGAAAAUUUCACGAAAUAUGCCUCCUGGCAUUGACCAAAGUCAUAAGGUUCAACUGAGAAUGAAGCUAGCAAAACAUCUGAUUCUUCCAGCUGAAGGGUGCAACAAUAAAUCAGCAUAUAGUGAGUCAGCAGUGGAAUGCAAGACGUCAAUUUUUACUGAAUCUGUAGCUUUGCCAGAAUACGUCACUCAAGCAAGUAAUCCACCAAUGAUACUCCUCUUUGGAUUGAAGACUUUGGAACCAAGUUUCCUAGUUACAGAAGGCUUUGAUUAAAUAUUGGAUUUUCCUUUAAACAG
rnacentral:lncRNA from 1 species